rnacentral:rRNA from 1 species
UACGUAGGGGGCAAGCGUUGUCCGGAUUUAUUGGGCGUAAAGAGCGUGUAGGCGGCCAGGUAGGUCUGGUGUGAAAACUCGAGGCUCAACCUCGAGAGGUCAUCGGAAACCAUUUGGCUAGAGUCCGGAAGAGGAGAGUGGAAUUCCCGGUGUAGCGGUGAAAUGCGCAGAUAUCGGGAAGAACACCUAUGGCGAAGGCAGCUCUCUGGGACGGUACUGACGCUGAGGUGCGAAAGCGUGGGGAGCAAACAGG